GAUGAACGCUGGCGGCGUGCCUAAUACAUGCCAGUCGAGCGAACAGACGAGGAGCUUGCUCCUCUGACGUUAGCGGCGGACGGGUGAGUAACACGUGGAUAACCUACCUAUAAGACUGGGAUAACUUCGGGAAACCGGAGCUAAUACCGGAUAAUAUAUUGAACCGCAUGGUUCAAUAGUGAAAGACGGUUUUGCUGUCACUUAUAGAUGGAUCCGCGCCGCAUUAGCUAGUUGGUAAGGUAACGGCUUACCAAGGCAACGAUGCGUAGCCGACCUGAGAGGGUGAUCGGCCACACUGGAACUGAGACACGGUCCAGACUCCUACGGGAGGCAGCAGUAGGGAAUCUUCCGCAAUGGGCGAAAGCCUGACGGGGCAACGCCGCGUGAGUGAUGAAGGUCUUCGGAUCGUAAAACUCUGUUAUUGGGGAAGAACAAAUGUGUAAGUAACUAUGCACGUCUUGACGGUACCUAAUCAGAAAGCCACGGCUAACUACGUG
rnacentral:rRNA from 1 species